rnacentral:rRNA from 1 species
CUACGGGUUGCUCCAGGCGCGAAACCUUUACAAUGCACGAAAGUGUGAUAAGGGGACCCCAAGUGCUUAUGUAAUACAUAGGCUUUUGCCAAGUGUAAAUAGCUUGGCGAAUAAGUGGUGGGUAAGACUGGUGCCAGCAGCCGCGGUAACACCAGCGCCACGAGUGGGAAUCAGCUUUAUUGGGCCUAAAGCGUCCGUAGCUGGUCAAAUAAAUCCCUUGUGAAAUCAUCGGGCUUAACUCGAUGACGUGCAGGGGACACUGUUUGACUCGAGACCGGGAGGAGUCAGGGGUAUUUUAGGGGGAGCGGUAAAAUGCUAUAAUCCCUAGAAGACCACCUGUGGCGAAGGCGCCUGACUAGAACGGAUCUGACAGUGAGGGACGAAAGCUAGGGGAGCGAUCCGGAUUAGAUACCCGCGUAGUC